ensembl:snoRNA
GCUGUGAUGAAACUUUGUGGCAUCGAUCUUGAUUGACAUGAUCUUCCACACUUAUUAUCCUCUAAGAAGUUCUGAGCUU